rnacentral:rRNA from 1 species
UCAAGCUAAUAAGAGCAUAAGGCGGAUGCCUUGGCACUAGGAGCCGAAGAAGGACGUGACAAGCUGCGAUAAGCUGCGGGGAGGUGCAAAUAACCCUUGAUCCGCAGAUGUCCGAAUGGGGGAACCCACAUACAGUAAUGUGUAUGUACCGUAUGGUGAAUAAAUAGCCAUACAGGAGGUGACCCGGUGAACUGAAACAUCUAAGUAGCCGGAGGAAGAGAAAGAAACAUCGAUCCCCUGAGUAGCGGCGAGCGAAAGGGGAAGAGCCCAAACCAUGCUACGGCAUGGGGUUGUGGACCAUCACAAGUCACAGAUCAUCAUAACUGAAUACAACUGGAAAGUUGAACCGCAGAAGGUAAAGGUCCUGUAGGUGAAAUGAUGAGACGGACGGAUGGCACCAGAGUAGCACCGGACACGUGAAACCCAGUGUGAAGCAGGGAGGACCGCCUCCCAAGGCUAAAUACUACCUGUUGACCGAUAGAGAACAGUACCGUGAGGGAAAGGUGAAAAGAACCCCGGGAGGGGAGUGAAACAGAACCUGAAACCUUAUGCUUACAAGCAGAGGGAGCGCAAGUGACCUCGUACUUUUUGUAGAACGGGCCAACGAGUUGCGGUAUAUGGCAAGGUUAAGGUGUUAAGCACCGGAGCCGUAGCGAAAGCGAGUCUUAAAAGGGCCAGAGUCGUAUGCUGCAGACCCGAAACCGGGUGACCUAUCCAUGUGCAGGUUGAAGCGGGAGUAAAAUCUCGUGGAGGACCGAACCCAUAUCCGUUGAAAAGGGUUGGGAUGACGUGUGGAUAGCGGUGAAAUUCCAAUCGAACUCGGAGAUAGCUGGUUCUCCUCGAAAUAGCUUUAGGGCUAGCCUCGGAAUGAGAUACGCGGAGGUAGAGCACUGAAUAUCCUAGGGGCCUUCACCGGCUACCGAAGAUUAUCAAACUCCGAAUGCCGCAGUAUCAUGUCCGGGAGUCAGACUAUGUGAGAUAAGUUUCAUAGUCGAAAGGGAAACAGCCCAGACCAACAGCUAAGGUCCCAAAGUUCAGGUUAAGUGGAAAAGGAUGUGGAGCUGCAUAGACAACUAGGACGUUGGCUUAGAAGCAGCCACUCAUUUAAAGAGUGCGUAAUAGCUCACUAGUCGAGUGAUUGUGCGCCGAAAAUGUAACGGGGCUAAAAUUCAUACCGAAGCUUAGGAAUGAUAGUAAUAUUGUUGGUAGAUGAGCGUUGUGUAAGCCUGAGAAGCUACACCGAAAGGAGUAGUGGAGGUAUCACAAGUGAGAAUGCCGGAAUGAGUAGCGAGAAUUAUGUGAGAAUCAUAAUGGUCGAAAAUCUAAGGUUUCUUGAGGAAGGUUCGUCCGCUCAAGGUAAGCCGGGAGCUAAGGCGAGGCCGAGAGGCGUAGUCGAUGCACAUACGGUAAAGAUUCCGUAGCCACCGAAGUCGUUAAAUACAGGGACACAGGAACAUAGCCUAACCCCACCGUUGGUUGAGUGGGGCGUAAGGGAGCGAAAAUUAGUAGCGAAGUGGGUGAUUGUACACUGGCGAGAAAAGCUGUAUGAAUUGACCAGGUGCCCGUACCGCAAACCGACACAGGUAGAUGAGGAGAGAAUCCUAAGACCAGCGGGAGAAGUGUUGUUAAGGAACUCGGCAAAAUGACCCCGUAACUUCGGGAUAAGGGGAGCCUACGAGAGUAGGCCGCAGAGAAUAGUCUCAAGCGACUGUUUAGCAAAAACACAGGUCUAUGCUAAAUCGAAAGAUGAUGUAUAUGGGCUGACGCCUGCCCGGUGCUGGAAGGUUAAGGGGAAGUGUUAGAGCAAUCGAAGCACUGAACUUAAGCCCCAGUAAACGGCGGCCGUAACUAUAACGGUCCUAAGGUAGCGAAAUUCCUUGUCAGGUAAGUUCUGACCCGC